AGAGUUUGAUCCUGGCUCAGAUUGAACGCUGGCGGCAGGCCUAACACAUGCAAGUCGAGCGGCAGCGCGGGGCAACCUGGCGGCGAGCGGCGGACGGGUGAGUAACGCGUAGGAAUCUACCCAGUAGCGGGGGAUAGCCCGGGGAAACUCGGAUUAAUACCGCAUACGCCCUAAGGGGGAAAGCAGGGGAUCUUCGGACCUUGCACUAUUGGCAGAGCCUGCGUUGGAUUAGCUAGUUGGUAGGGUAAAGGCCUACCAAGGCAACGAUCCAUAACUGGUCUGAGAGGAUGAUCAGUCACACCGGAACUGAGACACGGUCCGGACUCCUACGGGAGGCAGCAGUGGGGAAUAUUGGACAAUGGGGGCAACCCUGAUCCAGCCAUGCCGCGUGUGUGAAGAAGGCCUUCGGGUUGUAAAGCACUUUAAGUGGGGAGAAAGGUUCGGCGGUUAAUACCUGCCGGAAGUGAUGUUACCCACAGAAUAAGCACCGGCUAACUCUGUGCCAGCAGCCGCGGUAAUACAGAGGGUGCAAGCGUUAAUCGGAAUUACUGGGCGUAAAGCGCGCGUAGGCGGCUGUCUAAGUCGGGUGUGAAAGCCCCGGGCUCAACCUGGGAACUGCAUUCGAUACUGGACGGCUAGAGUAUGAGAGAGGGAGGUAGAAUUCCACGUGUAGCGGUGAAAUGCGUAGAUAUGUGGAGGAAUACCGGUGGCGAAGGCGGCCUCCUGGUUCAAUACUGACGCUGAGGUGCGAAAGCGUGGGGAGCAAACAGGAUUAGAUACCCUGGUAGUCCACGCUGUAAACGAUGUCGACUAGCCGUUGGGGACCUUCGUGUCCUUGGUGGCGUAGCUAACGCGCUAAGUCGACCGCCUGGGGAGUACGGUCGCAAGAUUAAAACUCAAAUGAAUGACGGGGGCCCGCACAAGCGGUGGGAGCAUGGUGGUUUAAUUCGACGCAACGCGAAGAA
rnacentral:rRNA from 1 species